AUUUAAAUAGUUUAAUUAAAAUUUUGAUUUGUGGUGUCAAAGACGUGUUAAUAAUACUUUAAAUA
rnacentral:tRNA from 1 species